ACGCACGCUGGCGGCGUGCUUAACACCUGCAAGUCGAACGGAAAGGCCCUGCUUUUGUGGGGUGCUCGAGUGGCGAACGGGUGAGUAACACGUGAGUAACCUGCCCUUGACUUUGGGAUAACUUCAGGAAACUGGGGCUAAUACCGGAUAGGAGCUCCUGCUGCAUGGUGGGGGUUGGAAAGUUUCGGCGGUUGGGGAUGGACUCGCGGCUUAUCAGCUUGUUGGUGGGGUAGUGGCUUACCAAGGCUUUGACGGGUAGCCGGCCUGAGAGGGUGACCGGCCACAUUGGGACUGAGAUACGGCCCAGACUCCUACGGGAGGCAGCAGUGGGGAAUAUUGCACAAUGGGCGGAAGCCUGAUGCAGCAACGCCGCGUGCGGGAUGACGGCCUUCGGGUUGUAAACCGCUUUCGCCUGUGACGAAGCGUGAGUGACGGUAAUGGGUAAAGAAGCACCGGCUAACUACGU
rnacentral:rRNA from 1 species